GGCAAGAUGGCCGAGCGGUCUAUGGGUGAGUCACUACAGUCCAAUCAGCUAUCUUAUUAGCAACCGCUAACACACGCAUCAGCGUUCGUCUCAAGGUUUCUUAUGGAGGGCACACUCUCUAUAAUGAUCAAUAUAUAUACUACGUAUAUAUAUAUUAGUAUGCGAAUCUCGAAAGAGGCGUGGGUUCAAAUCCCACUCUUGUCA
rfam:Penicillium marneffei ATCC 18224 scf_1105668340764 genomic scaffold, whole genome shotgun sequence.